GCUAGUCGCACGAGUUCAGACUCGUGGCGAAUAGCUCAGUAACACGUGGCCAAACUACCCUUCGGAACACAAUACCCUCGGGAAACUGAGGCUAAUGGUGUAUACCAUACCACCACUGGAAUGAGUGGUAUGUCAAACGCUCCGGCGCCGAAGGAUGUGGCUGCGGCCGAUUAGGUAGACGGUGGGGUAACGGCCCACCGUGCCAAUAAUCGGUACGGGUCAUGAGAGUGAGAACCCGGAGACGGAAUCUGAGACAAGAUUCCGGGCCCUACGGGGCGCAGCAGGCGCGAAACCUUUACACUGCACGACAGUGCGAUAGGGGGAUCCCAAGUGCACAGGCAUAGCGCCUGUGCUUUUCGGUACCGUAAGGUGGUACCAGAAUAAGGGCUGGGCAAGACCGGUGCCAGCCGCCGCGGUAAUACCGGCAGCCCAAGUGAUGGCCGAUCUUAUUGGGCCUAAAGCGUCCGUAGCUGGCCGCGCAAGUCCAUCGGGAAAUCCACCUGCUCAACAGGUGGGCGCCCGGUAGAAACUGCGUGGCUUGGGACCGGAAGGCGCGACGGGUACGUCCGGGGUAGGAGUGAAAUCCCGUAAUCCUGGACGGACCGCCGAUGGCGAAAGCACGUCGCGAGAACGGAUCCGACAGUGAGGGACGAAAGCCAGGGUCUCGAACCGGAUUAGAUACCCGGGUAGUCCUGGCCGUAAACAAUGUCUGCUAGGUGUGGCUCCCACUACGAGUGGGUGCUGUGCCGUAGGGAAGCCGCUAAGCAGACCGCCUGGGAAGUACGUCCGCAAGGAUGAAACUUAAAGGAAUUGGCGGGGGAGCACUACAACCGGAGGAGCCUGCGGUUUAAUUGGACUCAACGCCGGACAUCUCACCAGCAUCGACUGUAAUAAUGACGACCAGGUUGAUGACCUUGUCCGAGUUUCAGAGAGGAGGUGCAUGGGCCGCCGUCAGCUCGUACCGUG
rnacentral:rRNA from 1 species